CGGAGAACUGAAACAUCUAAGUACCCGGAGGAAGAGAAAACAAUAGUGAUUCCGCAAGUAGUGGCGAGCGAACGCGGAGAAGCCCAAACCCACAUAGUUACGGCUAGGUGGGGGUUAUAGGACCCUAACAGCUACUUACAGACGGAACUGGAAUGAUCUGGGAAGGUCAACCAUAGGGGGUGAGAGUCCCGUACAGGUAAAAGAUGUAAGUGGUAGGGGUAUCCUGAGUAGGUCGGGGCCAGAGGAACCCUGAUUGAAUUUGCCGGUACCAUCCGGUAAGGCUAAAUACUCCUGAGAGACCGAUAGUGAACUAGUACCGUGAGGGAAAGGUGAAAAGUACCCUGAAUAAGGGAGUGAAAUAGUACCUGAAACCGUGUGCUUACAAGCGGUCGGAGCUGCAUUUAUGUAGUGACGGCGUGCCUUUUGUAUAAUGAGCCUACGAGUUGCUCCU
rnacentral:rRNA from 17 species